rnacentral:rRNA from 1 species
CGCUGGCGGCGUGCCUAACACAUGCAAGUCGAGCGGGGACAUACGACGGAACCAAAGUUUCGGAUGGAGGUGAAGAUGUAUGUUCUAGCGGCGGACGGGUGAGUAACGCGUGAGCAACCUGUCCCUUACAGGGGGAUAACACAGCGAAAGUUGUACUAAUACCGCAUGAGACCACGGGGAGACAUCUUUCUGAGGUCAAAGGAGCAAUCCGGUAAGGGGUGGGCUCGCGUCCGAUUAGAUAGUUGGUGAGAUAACGGCCCACCAAGUCGACGAUCGGUAGCCGACCUGAGAGGGUGAUCGGCCACAUUGGGACUGAGACACGGCCCAAACUCCUACGGGAGGCAGCAGUGGGGAAUAUUGGGCAAUGGGGGGAAACCCCCUGACCCAGCAACGCCGCGUGAGGGAAGAAGGUUUUCGGAUCGUAAACCUCUGUCCUUGGUGAAGAGGAAGAGACGGUAGCCAAGGAGGAAGCCCCGGCUAACUACGUGCCAGCCGCAGC